UCCACGGUCGUCACAGCCAUCACUCUGCACAUGCUGUUUGCCGGCAUCGUCGACAGUGUACCCCUCUUGGACGUACCCUGACCUGGCGAGCUUGUUCGCUCAAGUCGAACCACAGUGGCAAAUUCUUGAGCAAAGUAUGGCAACUUCAACAUGCUGCUCAGUUUGCAUAUGUGAACUCUACUGGGCAUGUGCAAUGUUGUGGCAGUAUGGCUGUUAAUUGCUUUAUGAUGGUGAUGCAGUGCUGACUCAAGCCUUGUGGAAGAGGAGGCAACGCAGGUCAACUUAAAUAUCAAGCUGAGCCGGGAUAAUAAAAAAAUAAAUAGAGAGGUCACUUUCAGUUU